rnacentral:tRNA from 1 species
CGCGGGAUAGAGCAGCCCGGUAGCUCGUCAGGCUCAUAACCUGAAGGUCGGUGGUUCAAAUCCAUAUCCCGCAACCA